rnacentral:rRNA from 1 species
UGAACGGCCACAUUGGGACUGAGACACGGCCCAGACUCCUACGGGAGGCAGCAGUGGGGAAUAUUGCACAAUGGGGGAAACCCUGAUGCAGCGACGCCGCGUGGAGGAAGAAGGUCUUCGGAUUGUAAACUCCUGUUGUUGAGGAAGAUAAUGACGGUACUCAACAAGGAAGUGACGGCUAACUACGUGCCAGCAGCCGCGGUAAAACGUAGGUCACAAGCGUUGUCCGGAAUUACUGGGUGUAAAGGGAGCGCAGGCGGGAAGACAAGUUGGAAGUGAAAUCCAUGGGCUCAACCCAUGAACUGCUUUCAAAACUGUUUUUCUUGAGUAGUGCAGAGGUAGGCGGAAUUCCCGGUGUAGCGGUGGAAUGCGUAGAUAUCGGGAGGAACACCAGUGGCGAAGGCGGCCUACUGGGCACCAACUGACGCUGAGGCUCGAAAGUGUGGGUAGCAAACAGGAUUAGAUACCCUGGUAGUCCACACCGUAAACGAUGAUUACUAGGUGUUGGAGGAUUGACCCCUUCAGUGCCGCAGUUAACACAAUAAGUAAUCCACCUGGGGAGUACGACCGCAAGGUUGAAACUCAAAGGAAUUGACGGGGGCCCGCACAAGCAGUGGAGUAUGUGGUUUAAUUCGACGCAACGCGAAGAACCUUACCAAGUCUUGACAUCCUGCGACGGACAUAGAAAUAUGUUUUUCCUUCGGGACGCAGAGACAGGUGGUGCAUGGUUGUCGUCAGCUCGUGUCGUGAGAUGUUGGGUUAAGUCCCGCAACGAGCGCAACCC